rnacentral:rRNA from 1 species
CGAGUGGCGAACGGGUGAGUAAUGCAUCGGAACGUACCGUGUAAUGGGGGAUAACGAGUCGAAAGAUUCGCUAAUACCGCAUACGCCCUGAGGGGGAAAGUGGGGGAUCGUAAGACCUCACGUUAUACGAGCGGCCGAUGUCGGAUUAGCUAGUUGGUAGGGUAAAGGCCUACCAAGGCGACGAUCCGUAGCUGGUCUGAGAGGACGACCAGCCACACUGGGACUGAGACACGGCCCAG